rnacentral:rRNA from 1 species
GACGAACGCUGGCGGCGUGCUUAACACAUGCAAGUCGAACGGAAAGGCCCUGCUUUUGUGGGGUGCUCGAGUGGCGAACGGGUGAGUAACACGUGAGUAACCUGCCCUUGACUUUGGGAUAACUUAAGGAAACUGGGGCUAAUACCGGAUAGGAGCUCCUGCUGCAUGGUGGGGGUUGGAAAGUUUCGGCGGUUGGGGAUGGACUCGCGGCUUAUCAGCUUGUUGGUGGGGUAGUGGCUUACCAAGGCUUUGACGGGUAGCCGGCCUGCGAGGGUGACCGGCCACAUUGGGCCUGAGAUGCGGCCCAGACUCCUACGGUAGGCAGCGGUGGGGAAUAUUGCACAAUGGGCGGAAGCCUGAUGCAGCAACGCCGCGUGCGGGAUGACGGCCUUCGGGUUGUAAACCGCUUUCGCCUGUGACGAAGCGUUAGUGACGGUAAUGGGUAAAGAAGCACCGGCUAACUACGUG